UUUGCAAGAAAUCCAUAUUUAUUAAAGUUUCAACCCUAAAGUAACAUCUAUAAAUCUAGCUAGCAAACUCUUUAUUAAUUACAUACUUUUACCACAUAUGUAUUUUCCAAAGUCCACGUACUUCUCAAACAUAUAUAUGUAGCGUAGGAGUAGAAAAUAAGCAUAUUUCACCAUCUCAAUCACUGUGAUAAGGGAAAAGACGUAGAAAAAAGUUUGAGCAUCCGUUUGGUUCGGAAUUAAGGAGUGGAAUAACUUCUUAACCCCGAAAUUAUUUCCAAACACCCAAUUUGGAGGGUGGGGUUAGCUAACCCCACCACAAAUGGGCUAUCUUGGGAUAGCGUAUUUAGGGUGGGGUAGCUAACCCCACUCCACCUCACUACUCCAACCAAACAAAAUAUUAUUUUAUCCACUAUCCUUCUUAUCUCAUCUAUUCAAACUAAACAUUAUUUUACCUAUACCUGGAUUAAACUCAAUUCUCAACCAAACAUAAAAUUACUCUAACCCCUCAAUUCUGAACUUAACUCUAUAUCGGGAAUAACAAGUUUUUACUUAACCCCGAAACAAACGGUGGCUCAGAGUUUAUUCCAAUACCUUUUUUGCGCUUCCCUAUUGCCGGACAUAUAGCUGGUUUCUGCAGAUCUCUUUAAUAGGUACGAGCCCCUCUUCGUGGUUGCCCCUUCCUGGGUAUUGGGUUCGCUGGCGAUCCGAUGUCAUCAGCGCGUGGAAAUCGGUUGUCCGCGGCUUCUCUAAUUGGCUCGUUUGUUGAUGCACGCCUCUCGUGAUCUUGGUUGAUCCUUCCUCGGUUCGCCUGCGAUCCAACAACAUCGACGCUGGGACGAAGUCUAUGAUCUUGGUUCAUCCGUGAUGUGACGUCUGCAUCUUGACCUCCGUUCUUUGCGCUGUCGUCUUUCUUGUGAGCUUUCUUUAUCGGAGUAGAGGAGGGCAUGUAGUCUGCUGCUGUGCUGCUGAUGGGAUAAUCCGGAUCAGCUUUCGCCUCUUGUUUGACCUUUUCACUCUUUUUGUCAGCUUCUUCUCUUGCAGUAUCAAACUUUCCAGGUUCCUGAGGUGAGGGCUUAUUAUCACCUGCUGCGCCUGGUGUUUUCACUCCAUUCAUCGCCGAGCUCGGAGGUCCGUUCAUUGCCGGGCUUGGAAGUUGUCCCGAAGCUGGCGGCACUUGCACGGUGUGGCUGCUUGGCGGCUUGGCCUCCGGUUGGCUGGCAGGAGUUCCAUCAUCAGCGUCAUCACCCCCACAACAGAGGAACUUCAGACACAUACUAGUGUAAUACCUCUCUCUCUCUCUCUCUCUCUCUCUCUACCCAAGUUAAGGGAGUUUUGAGGUUAGUAUUAUGAUAUUAAAGCGUUUAAUUAUGGAUAAGAACGGGUGGCAUAUAUGCACCAUAAUGCUUUGCGUGGAAUCUAAUUCUGCGUUAGCUUCGUCUUAAAGCUGGUAAACCGCGUUGAAAGUCAGUCUCCCAUUAAUGAGAUGCCCUAAUGAUUGAGUCAUAAAGCCAAUGAUUAUUAUUUGAUUACAUAUUUACUCGGUUGGUAGGGCUGUCAAUAAGCUCAUGUUGGCUGUCAAUAAGCUAAACAUGAGCGAGCUGGCCAAACCUAGUACGAGCCAACUCAUUAAAAUAUCGAGUCAAAAAAUUUAAAUGUGUAUAAGCAGUCCGUGGAUUUGAACUCAUAAUCGUUCGUUAAUAAACGAGGUGAACGCGAGUUGACUCACAAAUAACAAGUUAAAAAAGAUUAGAAAAAAAAUAUAUAUAGAAAAUAAACUUCUGAAAUUUUAUCUAUUAAAUUUUGAUCAGACGGUUGAAAUUUUAUAUAUAAUGAAUCUUUUUAUAAUUGAGUUAGGCUUUAUAUCUAGGUUGGACUAAAAAUUAAAUAAUAAAAAUAUGUAUUAUAUAUAUAUAAUAAUUAAGUUAUAUAAAUAUAAAAUAUAUGUAUUUGUGUUGUUACCAACUCGAACACAAGCGAGCUAACUCUAGCUCGUGUUAGGCUCGUUUAUUAAACGAGCUGAAAAAUUCACCUCAUAUUCGGCUUGUUUACUACACGAACGAUUCAUUCUCAAACUCUUUUCGAACAGAACAUGACUUGGCUCGGGAAUAGCGAGCUGAAUUACUACCCCUAACGGUAGGGGUUGGGAAUAAUUAAGAGACAAAAAUUAGGCCGAUUUACCAAAUUAGCUAUUUGAGGAAAAAGUUUAUAAUGCACCUGUUAUGGUGCUGAUAUAGCAUUCUCAAUUAAUCAGAUUGUUUUUCUUAAUUAGUUCAUCCAUUCCAUGAUUAUUAGUAAAAUAUUUUUAUUAUAUUUUUCUCUAAAAAAUUGAUAUGGUAUAAUUAAUUACAUAGUAGACUUCCUCCUAUUUGAAAAUGUGGGAUCGACUUUGAGGUAGAAAUAUAGGGGCAAAUUGGGAAGGCAUUUGAAAUUUAUAUUUUUUAAAAAUUAUUAUCUAAUUCAAAAUAUUUUUUAGACUCAUUAACUCAAAAGUAACAACUUUUAUAAAAAUAAAAAAUAUAUAAUCUUAACUCAAAAUAUAUANNNNNNNNNNNNNNNNNNNNNNNNNCACUCGCCUCUGCCUGCUCAGGCAUCUCGGGAGAUCUAGCACGAUCCUGCGCCAACUGCGCACGCUCCCGCAACGACGGUCGGCCUCGGCGACGAUACAUAGCUGAAAAGAACAAAUCGGGGUCAGAUACAACAAAACACUCUCGACCCAAUCAAACGAAAGUCUAGAAGGCAGCCCCUGUUUCUCCUCGAAAUUAUGUCGUCUGCAGCCAACAUAAUUUCUCAGGCCAAAACAGAAACUCCUUCAGUCACUCACUCUACUCCAAGAGGAAUUAAAACAUAUAAUCAUUGACUUUCGCAAUAAAAUUACGCCUCUCACGUCUUGCUUCCCUAAGGUUUGCCAAACUUAGGUUUCCUAGGUCCCAACGACCUACAGCAAAGCUCUGAUACCAACUUAAUCUGUCACGCCCCGGACUACACGUUCCCCGGCCACGCCGACAAAUCCGCCGUAUACAAAGAAAUUUUCCCUGUAUACGAAGCGAUAGCUGUACCUGUAAAUCAAACACUACUACGAACAGUAGUAGAGAGCUGCUAGAGAAAAACUGAAGCUAAAUAAAACAGAGUUUCAUAUACAUAGUUCAGAUCCAAAAUACAGAGCUACUCGCACUGGCGAGUUAAGUCACUAUGUACAUAAUCUCGAAACCAAACCUCUACCUGCAGUAGGGCACCUCUAGCUCAGCACGUCGGGUAGGGCUCUAACUCGCGACGCCCUUGCCUCGAUCCUGGUCCGCAGUCGGUGCAGCAGCCGGAACCUGUGGCUCUGCAAAAACAUAGGUAACAACUGGGCGUGAGAACUACUGUAAAAACAAGUAGUUCUCAGUGGGUACCGCCCAAAACAACAUCGGUCACCUACUAAGUCUACAGAAGGGAGCAAGGAUAGAAGGAAAGCAGGAAGCAUACUCUACCACUAUCAUCCACUACACUAUCAUGCUCUACACUAACCAAUUGUAGGAAAUAUCAAAUCUGAUCCAAUCCAAUCGGGACUGCAAACAUACCCGUCCCCGGGACUGUGAAUACACCCGUCCCUGCCCCGUUGCGACUAUCCAGCUCAAUCCACACUAACUGGUCCGUGGAGAGCAAGUCCAACUGGCAUGAGCGACACCAACGCAAAAGCACAAGCCCAACUCCGGAGUGGCACUCGUGGGCGCUACCCAACCGAGUAUGCAGCGUAUCUCUGUCGAGCUCAAUCAGGCUCCAACUAGCCAAAGUCAAGUAAUCGACUCAAAUUGAUCUAACAAUCACUCAGGUAACGUGCCCUCGGCACAAUCUGACGCCAAAAAGGCGAUACGGGUUCACCGUCAACUCUGACGGCACCCAACAGUCCGAAACGACCUGAUCGACCCUGUAAAAAUCCACUCGGCGAACCAGCACGAGUGUAAAUACAUUCUCAACUACCUGGAGUACUCGUCUCGAAGAAACUGCGACAGUACAAUUUUCUAACGGCUUCUAGAGCUAAAUCAGGUAGUUAAAACUGGUGACAGGUCCAAAUCGCAGGUUUUCUCCUAAUUCAAUUUCCAAGUCCAACAUGUAUAAACUAAUUAAUUAUAAAGCAUGCUCAAAAUUCAGUUCUCACAUUCAAGCACAUAAUCCAUGGAUUUGAGCUAAACUAAAUUACCAAAAAUUCAGAUCUAUACAUGUCGACGAUUAUGAACUUAGGAGUCGAAACCGAUGUAACCCACCUCAAGUGCAAUUUCCUGGCAGCGAACUCAGCCUCGGCCACCCGCGAUGCUGCUGGAUUCCUCAGGGACCACCUAGACCGGUCGCCGAGCUAAAACGACCAAAACAUCACAAAUCAGCCUAAGUUCACAGCAGCUGAAAGAGACCAAGUUUCGACCAAGCUAACCUCGUCCAAAAAUUGCAAGUGAGGGCUCCGUGGAAUCCUCUCGCAGUCUAGAAUCCAAUGAACCAAGUUUCGUCGCGAUCCGACGCUCCUACGCGGAGAACGAGCCGAAAUACUAACAGUCGACGGUAGAUUCUGCGAAAACAGCACUUAAGCUCACAUCAACGAUACCCGAAGUACUCGGAGCAAUUGCGACCAAAAUGCUCACCUCAACAGCGACAACCCUCGGCGCGAUGUCCAGGACAGCGAAGACGCACCCUCGCCCGGCCUCCUCGCAAUGCCCCGGCAACAAACGCUCGCUCGAACGGCUCGCGGCGCGACGUCGGCGAAUCCCCGGCUCAACCGUGCUCCACCUCCACCAAGCCUAGAGAGAGAGAGAAAGAAGAAAGCACAAAAGCCUUCUCUCUCUUCCUCUGUUCGGUUUCCAACUGAUAUAGAGAGGAAGGGAAGGAAUCGUUACAAACGAGGUAGAAAAUUACGGAUUUAGCCCUUACCAACUCCCUUGUACCGGUACACGGAUUGCUGUACCGGUACAAGGCCAAACCCGAGAGCAACUGAGUUCUGUCGCUCGCUCUGUACCGGUACAAAUGGACCCUUGUACCGGUACAACAAGCGACUUCCCAUGAAGGUUGUACCGGUACAGCACAAACCUUGUACCGGUACAGCAGAGUAAAAAUCCUGCAAUUUCGCAGAUUUUCACACAGAAUGCUGCCCUCGCGUCGCACGGAGUCCGUCUCGCGUCUAUUUGACGCCAACGCGACUCGGGCUUGUCUCGACACUCUCCAGAGUUGUCGACAAGUCCCCACUGACAGAAACCGGGGUCUCACAGAAAGAAAGUGAAAAGUUUUUUUAGAGGUGAGGUAUUUUUGUUGUUGUUGUUGUUAUUAAUUCGUUAUCUGUAUUUUUGUAUCUGUGUAAUACUUAAAUUUUUUUUAAACUUAUCUAAAUAUUUUUUUUAUUUUUUUAAUGUUUCUUUUUAGUUUUUUAAAAAAAUUUAUCACAAGAUUGGAGAAAAAGUUGAGCUUAGGGGUGAUAAGACCAGAUGGUGCUUAUCUCACUGUUUCGAUCCUUGUCGACGUGGCUCUGCGAAUGAACAAGUAAAAUUUUUCUACCCUCUUCUACCUAUAUAUUUUGGAUAUUUAAAUAAAAAAUAUUCUUUAUUUAAAAAUAUAAAAGUAAAAUUAUAUAAAAAUAAUAAUUUAUAUUUAUUCUCGUUAUGUAUUUUGCAUUUUAUUUGUUAUGUAUUUUACAUUUUAUUUGUUUUUUAAUUGUUUAGGUGGCCGGUUCCGAGGGCUCGUCAAAUUCACAAAACAAGACGGCAGGGAUAAAUAACAGUAUCAUUAUGUGGCGGAGAUGGAGAUGGACUUUUUUUUAAUUUUUGUUUCACUUUAUGGACUUUUAGUAUAAAUUCUUUUUUUAUUUAAAAAUAUUAUGAUUUAUGUUUUCUGAUUAUAUUUGGAUUAUGUUAUUUAAUGACUNGCUUCUGUUUUUCGGCACGUCCUUACCCUCGCCCGCGCACCCCCGCCUUCCUCGCCUCCGACAUCGAGACCGUGCUGUGAUUUUUUUUCCCCUCUCCGACCCUCCUCCACCACCUCCGACGAUAACGCUUCUCUCGCCCUUCCCUGCUUUUUCUCGCCCUUUCCCUCUCCCUCCACCUUCGUUUCCUUUGCCACUUCCGCGACAACACCUCUCUAUUGACGCCGACGCUACGAAGGUCGCUGUGACGCCGCAGUUUCGAAGCGGGAAGUCCUUAGCGACAUCAUUGCCGGCACAGUGGUCGUUAGCGGAGAAGUAUGACAAAAAAAAAUUGUAGAAAAAGAAAUAAUAAAAAAAUAAAGAAAAAAAAUAGAAGAAGAAAGAAGAAGAUAAAAUUGCACUGCUUUAAAAAAAAAAAUGCACUGUUUUAAAAUUUUUUGCACUGUUUUAAAUGAAAGUUACACUCUUUGAAAAAAAUUACACUCUUUGAAAUCAAAUUGCACUAUUUAGAAUAAAGUUGCAAUAUUUUGACAAAAUUUACACUAUUUUUUUUCUACUUUUCACACUAUUUCUCUUCCAUUCUUCUUCCUCUUUCUCCUUCCUCCCAUCCUCAUCCUCAUCCUCCACCCCACCUCCAGAGAAGAGGGUUGGAGUGGUGGUGGUAGCGCAGAAGCGAGCGCACGUCGUCGGGGAACCCCGUGGCGCGCAUCCGUCAUGACCACGCCACUGGCUCCUCCUCCACCGCCACCGUCCUCCAUGCUCGCCGCGUGCGCCCGCGCGCAGCUCCCCGCCACCGCACGCUCUCUGCCCGCAGCCCUCCUUUUCGCCGUCGCGGCCGACUUCGCCGCGUCGCGCAGCUGGUCCAGGACCUCUGCAAGAAACACGACCUGCAGUACUCCUUCUCCUCCUGGGACGCCAACCGCCGCACCCUCGCCACCCUCCGCGCCACCGCGCUGCAGGCGCGCGACCUCGCCAACCCCUCGCCGAGGAAUUUGCUCUGGGAGGCUGUCAACACGCAUGGCUAGCAGAAUAGUCUGUUCGAUUUGCUUUUGCUGCUUUAAUUAGGUGGUAUAAUUCACUAUUCAUUCAUUGAUUCGCGUUAAUUGGUUAGUCUACUCUUUGCACUCACAAUCUGUUGUUUACUUAUCAUACUUUUGUUUUUUUUUUUCCCUUACAAUUGUAGCUGCCAUACAAAAUUAAACAGAGUUGUAUUAACCAUGCAUUCAUAGUACAGGCCCUCCAACCCCGACGACGUGCGCUCGCUCCAACCCUCUUCUCUGGAGGUGGACGAUAAGGAUGAGGAUGAGAGGAAGGAGAAAGAGGAAGAAGAAUGGAAGAGAAAUAGUGUGAAAAAUAGAAACAGAAAUAGUGUAAAUUCUGUCAAAAUAGUACAACUUUGUUCUAAAUAGUGUAAUUUGAUUUUAAAGAGUGUAAUUUUUUUUCAAAGAGUGCAACUUUCAUUUAAAAUAGUGCAAAAUUUUUUAAAACAAUGCAAUUUUUUUUUAAACAGUGCAAUUUCAUCUUCUUCUUCCUUCUUCUAUUUUUUUUGUCUUUAUUUUUUUUUAUUUUUUUUUCUAUAAUUUUUUUUUGUCAUACUUCUCCGCCAACAACCACUGCGCCGGCGAUAACGUCGUUAAUGACU
rnacentral:lncRNA from 1 species